UUCUAACUAAAAAUUGAAAAAUUGGUUUAUGAAAUUACGAAACAUAAUUUUUUUUUCAAUUGGAUCAAUACUUCCAAUUGAAUAAGUAUGAGGAAAAGAUCCAUGGAUAAAGAUAGAAAAGUGUAUUUCUAAUCGUAACUAAAUCUUCAAUAUUUUUUUAUGGGAUAGAUUGAAGCAAAAUAGCUAUUAAACGAUAACUUUGGUUUACUAGAGACAUUUACAUCUUGUUUUAGCUCGGCGAAAACAAAAUGUUUUUCAUAAGGAUUUUCUCAAAUAGA
rnacentral:lncRNA from 1 species